rnacentral:tRNA from 1 species
UCCUGGUUAGCUCAGAUGGCAGAGCGACCGCCCUGGAAAUGCGUUAGUCCCGGGUUCGAAUCCCGGACCAGGAC